AGAGGUCUCAAGCGUUGUUCGGAUUCAUUGGGCGUAAAGGGUGCGUAGGUGGCGGGGUAAGUCAGGUGUGAGAUCUCGGAGCUCAACUCCGAAACUGCACUUGAUACUGCCUUGCUCGAGUACUGGAGAGGAGAUUGGAAUUUACGGUGUAGCAGUGAAAUGCGUAGAUAUCGUAAGGAAGACCAGUGGCGAAGGCGAAUCUCUGGACAGUUACUGACACUGAGGCACGAAGGCCAGGGGAGCAAACAGGAUUAGAUACCCUGGUAGUCCUGGCAGUAAACGGUGCGCGUUUGGUGUGGGAGGAUUCGACCCCUUCUGUGCCGGAGCUAACGCGUUAAACGCGCCGCCUGGGGAGUACGGUCGCAAGAUUA
rnacentral:rRNA from 1 species